UACGUAGGGAGCAAGCGUUGUUCGGAUUUACUGGGCGUAAAGCGCACGUAGGCGGCUUCUUAAGUCAGGGGUGAAAUCCUGGAGCUCAACUCCAGAACUGCCUUUGAUACUGAGGAGCUUGAGUCCGGGAGAGGUGAGUGGAACUGCGAGUGUAGAGGUGAAAUUCGUAGAUAUUCGCAAGAACACCAGUGGCGAAGGCGGCUCACUGGUCCAUUACUGACGCUGAGGUGCGAAAGCGUGGGGAGCAAACAGG
rnacentral:rRNA from 1 species